GAUACAGUAAGGGGACAUGGAACACAAGAGCUGCCCACAGCUAAGUUUAUGAGAAAAGUCAGAAGGAGGGAGAUUUGGAAGAAACUAAUAAGGAAUUGGACUCACUGCCCAGCAGGCUAAAGGAGCUGGAAAAGGGAGAGAGGGAAGAUAGAUGAUAGCAAAGAAAGAAGGGAGAGGGAGGCAAAGAAAGUGAGGGAGGGGAGAGAUUGAUUAAUUUAGUUAUACAUAAUCCUGUGCAUGAGCCCUUUCAGCAGUUUUAAGAGAUGCAGUCAACACUGAAGCUGAGAGGUGAAGCCAGCUGGGCUUGUGGGUUAGGUGGGGACUUGGAGAACUUUUAUGUCUGGCUAAAGGAUUGUAAAUGCACCAAUCAGCACUCUGUCAAAACGGACCAAUCAGCACUCUGUCAAAACGGACCAAUCAGCACUCUGUAAAACAGACCAAUCAGCACUCUGUAAAAUGGACCAAUCAGCAAGAUAUGGGUGGGGCCAAAUAAGGGAAUAAAAGCAGGCCACACGAGCCAUCCGCGGCAGUAGGCUGUGGAAGGUAGUUCUUUUCUGUUUUGCGAUAAAUAUUGUUGCUGCUCACUAGUUGGGUCUGCACUACGUUUAUGAGCUGUAACACUCGCUGAGAAGUUCUGCAGCUUUCCUCUUGAAGUCAGUGAGACCACGAACUCACCAGAAGGAAGAAACUCUGGAUACAUCUGAACAUCUGAAGGAACAAACCCCGGACCCACCAUCUUUAAGAACUGUAACACUCACUGUGAGGGUCAGCGGC
rnacentral:lncRNA from 1 species